rnacentral:rRNA from 1 species
CGGGGCAGUAAAUCUUCUGUGAAAUUGUUGUGCCCAACGCAACAACGUGCAGGAGACACUGCUGCCCUUGGGACCGGGAGGGGUCAGAGGUAUUCUGGGGGAAGCAGUAAAAUGCUGUAAUCCCCAGAGGACCACCUGUGGCGAAGGCGUCUGACCAGAACGGCUCCGACGGUGAGGGACGAAAGCUAGGGGAGCGAACCGGAUUAGAUACCCGAGUAGUCCUAGCUGUAAACGCUGCGAGCAAGGUGUUGCAUGAUCCUGAGGUCAUGCAGUGUCGAAACGAAGGUGUUAAGCUCGCCGCCUGGGUA